rnacentral:tRNA from 1 species
AGGGAUGUAGUGCAGUUUGGUAGCGCGUUUGUUUGGGGUGAAAAAUGUCAUGUGGUCAAAUCCUGUCGUCCCUA